rnacentral:misc_RNA from 1 species
AAAGAAAAAAAAGAGAAUCACAAUAACAAAGGUGGAUAUAUUCGCUCGACCAUUAACAAUGUUGCUGAGUCGGAAGUUGAAGAUAUUUUCGAUACUGACUUUCGCUGGAGUGGUUUUUAUGACAAUAUCUUUCGUCAGUCCGGGAUGGGUGAAUUGUAAAGUGAGUUUUAUAGAACCAUUCAUCCAGCUUGACUCAUCAGUAUAUUUUUACGGAUACCCUACUGGAGCUCAUCUGUCAGCAGGACUGUGGUAUUUCAGCUUAUGCAUUGAUAAAAUAAGUUUACCUGAAUCAAUGGAAGAAGAGAAAUGUCACUUGUCAGCAUACCCCUUUAACUUUGAAAGACUGUUUUCACAUCUAGUUUUAGAUCCAUCGUAUCAUCAAGUCAGAGGUAAGUAACCAGUAAUUAAAACACGGGGUCCUUCUUUGUUCUUGAAAUCUAUAAAUUAUCAUUGGAAGUCUAAAAUUAGCGAUCCUUUGUGUUCAACAUUAGACUGUUUCAGGUGAAACAUUAAGUCAAGAAAUGACAUUUAAAGGGAAUGUUUAAGUUUGAUGUAUGGUUCAUGCAUUUCUGUAUGAAAAAUAGCUUCUGCCCUUAAGGAGGCUGUGUGGUCAACAAAUUAGCAUUCAGAUCUUCUGUAAAUUCUAAAGGUAUGGAUUGUUUAGUUAAAAGUAUCGUUAAGUAGAGCAAAAAUAUUAAGGUCUAAAAUUUAAAUAUUUUGUUAUAUCUUCAUACAGAGCUCUUCUUUGAAGAAGAUUAAUGCAAUCCGAAAAUAGCUACUACCAUCCAGCCCUCUUGAGGAGUCUCAAACUCUCUGAUAGUUUUAUUCCAAAAAUGUAAUUAGCAUAUACAAUGUAUUGAUUUCUGGCGUUUGUUCGUUUUAGUAACCAAUGUUAGUGCAUUUAAAAAAUACCUGUUUUCAGGACUGACUAGAAACAUUAUGCUGGAAAUCCAGAUAAUGUCCUCGAUUGGAAUUUUCUGUGCAGUUCUUGGCUUCAUUGGGGCCAUUGUAUACACACGGACUUUAACGAAAUCCAGAUAUGCUGGAUUGUUGUCCUGCAUCAGUCUCUCCAUCUCGGGUGGGACAUAUAUCGCAGCAAUAGUGAAGACAGCAAUUGCAACUCAUGUUUACAAAGACAUUGUAAGGAAGUACAGUGUUUGGAGGUAUGAUAAUUUUCAAUUAUAUUGUCCAUGGGGUCUCCUUCUUGGAGGAAUUGGAUGCUUCUUAAUCCUUGUCUCAGCUCUUGGUCACCUGUGUAUCCUGUCCAGAAACAGAACAACUGACGACAUACACGUGUACCAUAUCCACAAAGGAACAAACCAAGGAAUCAUCUCGCAGCAUUCCUACACGACCAUAGCACCACCGGGAUACCACGUGACUGUUGGGUUAAAGGUGCCACUUGUUGGCAGUAUGGAGAAAAAUGAGGAGGCGAGCUUUGUUUCAUACAAAUGAAAAAUGUAUUGCCAUGAACUUUCAAAGUAGCUUUAUCUUGAAACUGCUGAAAUAUGUUUUAUCUAUUGUUUUGAAACUUUUCAAUUCAUGUGCCUUUUCAGAUACCUGUAUAUAAGCGAACACAUUAUCAAAUUUUCCGAAUAUUUGCUAUCUUUUUUGUUUUAGCCUGGAUAAUUUUUUAAUAAAUUCGUUAUUUAUAUUAAG